UACGUAGGGCGCAAGCGUUGUCCGGAAUUAUUGGGCGUAAAGAGCUCGUAGGCGGUCUGUUACGUCCGCUGUGAAAACCCAGGGCUUAACCCUGGGCUUGCAGUGGAUACGGGUAGACUAGAGGCAGGUAGGGGAGAAUGGAAUUCCCGGUGUAGCGGUGAAAUGCGCAGAUAUCGGGAGGAACACCGGUGGCGAAGGCGGUUCUCUGGGCGUGACCUGACGCUGAGGAGCGAAAGCGUGGGAGCGAACAGG
rnacentral:rRNA from 1 species